rnacentral:tRNA from 1 species
GCCCCAGUGCUGGAAGUGGCAGACAGGAGCGAUUUGCAAUCGCUUGCCCAUUCCGGGCGUCCGGGUUCAAUCCCCGGCUGGGGCA